CAAAAGAGCCAGAGGAAAGACACAAUUACAAUACAGGAAAGCAAAAGACAAAAAAGCAGAUGAACAGAUACCAUUUAUUAUAACUGAAGACUAAGAAAUCAUUGCAGCUGGAAUGACCACUAGAACAGCCUACCACUUGAGAGUAUGACAAAAGUCAAGGGUUAUCGUUAAUGAUUGAGAACUACAUGAAACAAAGUCCUGAAGUCAUGGAUCUAAUGGCAAAACUAAGUCAAUUACAAGUAUCUCAUUCUAUUAUCUGUACUCCUUCUUACCCACCUCUAUAUAAUUUAGUAUAUUUUAGCAUAGAUGAAUAUACAGAGUGGAAUACUACCCAAAUAUAUA